GAAGCCUAGAUUCCUGAACACAUUCAGACCUGCCACAGCAACCUAGCUCUGAACUCCCUUCAAGGCUGCUCUAUGCCAAAGGAAAUAAGAUUAAAGCAACACAGGAAGAGUUCUGGUUGGCAAUAAGACACAAUGGAUAUAUCUUGUGUGGGAUUUGAAAGGAAGAAUAGAAAAAUCUACAUGAGUACUCUUGGGGGGAAAAGAGCUUGGUCAUGUGAAUUACUUUGGUCAAUGAGACGUGAACAAAUAUGAUAUAAGCAGAGGCUUUAAAAGACUUGCAUAUUGGAGCUUGCUCUCAUUUUCUGUACUUGGAAUUCUGCAAUUGCCAUCAUGUGAACAAGCCCUGGCUAGCCUCCUGGAUGAUUAUAGCCAGAUCACCUCCAUCACUCAAGGUGACAUUGAGUCAACUGCCUGAAGCCAUCCUAGACCAUCCAGCUUCAGCUGAAACAGCCCAGAAGAUUAAUCAUAUGAAAUAAUAAAUUAUUGUUGUUUG